UCAUUAAAACAGUUAUAGUUUAUUUGAUAAUCGAAUUUACAUGGAUAACCGUGGUAAUUCUAGAGCUAAUACAUGCUGGUUAGCCUGACUUUUAGGAAGGGCUGUAUUUAUUAGAUAACAAAUCAAUAUUCCCCGUGUCUAUUGUGAUGACUCAUAAUAACUGAUCGAAUCGCAUGGACUUUGUCCGCGAUACAUCAUUCAAGUUUCUGCCCCAUCAGCUUUCGAUGGUAGUGUAUUGGACUACCAUGGCUUUAACGGGUAACGGAGGAUUAGGGUUCGAUUCCGGAGAGGGAGCCUGAGAAACGGCUACCACAUCUAAGGAAGGCAGCAGGCGCGUAAAUUACCCAAUCCUGACUCAGGGAGGUAGUGACAAGAAAUAACGGACCGAGGCUUUUGCUUCGGGAUUGCAAUGAGUAGAAUUUAAACCCCUUUACAAGGAUCAAUUGGAGGGC
rnacentral:rRNA from 1 species